UACGGGGGGAGCAAGCGUUGUUCGGAUUUACUGGGCGUAAAGGGCGCGUAGGCGGUCAGCACAAGUCAGUUGUGAAAUCCCCGGGCUUAACCUGGGAACUGCAUUUGUGACUGCAUAGCUAGAGUACGGUAGAGGGGGAUGGAAUUCCGCGUGUAGCAGUGAAAUGCGUAGAUAUGCGGAGGAACACCGAUGGCGAAGGCAAUCCCCUGGACCUGUACUGACGCUCAUGCACGAAAGCGUGGGGAGCAAACAGG
rnacentral:rRNA from 1 species